rnacentral:lncRNA from 1 species
CUGCCUCAAGGUGUGGAGCUGUUUCUCCUGCAUACAAUAGUAGCUCUGCUGUGACAACUCUCUAUCUGUCCUAGGGCCUAAAAUGCCUCUGUUUCACUAGGUUAUAGCUUUAUCCUAGGGAGUCCUCUUUGGAAGCAGGGUGGGGGUGCAACAGGCCUUCCCCAUGCCUGUAGUCUGUGAGCAGCGAAGGCCAUGUGGGGCAGGCUGUGGCCUAGGUCUCCACAGAUCCUGGUAGAAGUCCAUGCUCACGCAUCAGCUCCAACAUGUGUUACUGUCCCCCUUCCUGUCUCUGUUUAUCUCUCAGUCUCUCUGUGUGUGAGUCUUUUUUCCUCUCUCCCAGUCAGAGGGAGAGACAUGAUCAGACUUGGGUUCUAGAAACCUGCCCUGGGCCAGGCAUGGUGGCUCAUGCCUGUAAUCCCAUCACUUUGGGAGGCAGAAGCAGGUGGAUCACUUGAGGCCAGGAGUUUGAGACGAGACUGGCCAACAUGAUGAAACCCAGUGUCUAUUAGAAAUACAAUAAAAUUAGCUGGGUGUGGUGGCACACGCCUGUAGUCCCAGCUACUUAGAAGGCUGAGGCAUGAGAAUAUGAGAAUCGCUUGAACUUGGGAGGUGGAGGUUGCAGUGAGCUGAGAUUGCCUUACUGCACUUUAGCCUGGGGGUGACAGAGUGAGACUCUGUCUCAAGAAAAGAAAAAAAAAAGAAGAAGAAAAAUAAAGAAACCUGCCUCGGUGGCAUUGUCUGGGUUGAACUGGAAGAGAGAGGUGGGGCCAGGAGGCUAGAGUGGAGGCCAAGCCAAUACAGGGGUCAGUGAGUUCUGGGGCUUUUUGAGAACUUGGGAAAGGCUGGAUAGAUGAGAAUAGGGAAGGGAAUGUCUAGGUGGCUCAGGCUUGGACUGGGGUCAGGGGUGUAGUGCAGACAUCUCAGUAAGUCAGGAUCUCAUGAGGGAAAAGGCUCAUGGAAGGCUCAGGAAAGCUGGGCGUGGGUGGGCUGAGGUAGUGGGAGAGAUCUUUAUAGUGUUUCUAGCUAGGAUGGAGAGGGUCAGAGAUCAUGGAGCCAUCUCUUGCCAGACAGGGAAACUGAGACUAUGGCUUCAUCACUAUCCUUUGGCUGCAAGGCUGGGGCUCAACCUCUUCAUCAGACCUGACCCUCAAUAUCAUUCUCCUUCAGGCCCUGCCCGGAACCUCUUGGUUGCUGAGCUUGGUCAGCUCAGUGAGGGUUAAUUGUCUUUAUGCUCCCUGCACCCCCACCCCCCGCAGUCAUUCCCCCUGCCCACCAAGCAGCUCCUGCCACUCUUCCUGCUUCCCACUCCAGCCUCCUGUCUCCAGGGACUGCUGAUGGCUUGGCUGGGAUCUAGCCAAAUGGUGGGGGGUGGGGGCGGGGGGGNNNNNNNNNNNNNNNNNNAGCAGUCCUCUACCCCUUGGUCUUAAUGGACUGGGAGUCUCACCCUCAGCCAUGCUGCUGUCAGGCCAGGGCUGCGCUCCCCGGGCUUCUGCUGCUUGGGCCUAUGAAAUCUCCCGACUCAGCAUGAUUCCAUUGCUGCAUUCAUUCAUUCAACCACUCAACAGGAACUCCUCAGUAGCUGCUUGGUGCCCACUUGGCUUGUCACCAGGGACACAGAGCAGACACUGACUGAGUCCCUGUUCUCAGGGAGUGCCCAGUCUGAUGAAGGAGAAAGAAAUGGAAAUCUGCAACCCCACAGGGUGAGCAGUGCUGUGUAGGAGGUGGGGGGCCCACAGCAAGCCUGGGCUUCAGAGGAAGAGACAUUUGAGCCGGACCUUGAAGGAUGGGUAGGAAUCGCCCAGGCAGGGAAGAGCAGAGGGAACAGUUUGUGAAGGUGGGUAGGAAAGGCACAGGGCUAGGCACCUGACUCAGUGCAGCCUCCGGGUGGGAGAAGACAGUAAGGGAGUUUGGGUCAUUUUCUAGCAGUUGUUUUAGUACUCUCUACAACUUGCCCUGCAGAUCUAUCCAGCCUGCUGUUUGCAUACCCCCGGACACAGGAUGUUCAUCUCUUCCCUCCUGGGCAGCCCUUCCCUUGUGGUGGUUAUAUCUGUCCUGGGUCUUCUCUGCAGGGCCCAGCAACUCCAGGCUACCCAGCCUGGCCUUAUGUCCUUUCUCCGUCCUGUGUCACUGUCCCCUGAAGUAGGGCCAGGCUGGGGCACAAUGAUCCAGGAGUGGCAAGAACACAUCUAGGCAGAGAGUGGGAGAAAUGCGCAGUCUUUAUUAACAAAAAUCUGAGAUGGGUGCAGGCCCUGACUCCUCUCCAAAAAUAAUGAUAAAGAAGCAGGCAUGGCCAAAUAAGGGAGUGAGGACAGACAGCAGGAAGAACUUCCUACCAAUGCAGAAGGGCUGUGAGUCUCUUGGCUUCAUGAGAGUGGGCUGUGCGUGUGAAAGGGAAGGUCUCAGAGGACAAGAGGGGGAAUUGGAGGC